rnacentral:lncRNA from 1 species
ACAGUCACAUAAUCAACCAUUUUACUAAAUACAAGCAUAUUUUCAUUCACAUACAGCUAAAGUUUUUCACAUUUCAUUACAGUGCACAACAAAGUGAGGAAAAGUACACAGUACAUUUUAUUCUGGAAUAUGAGGCAAUCUAAUCCAACAUGCAGUUGUGGUCUUUGUUGCAAGUUAGUUUAUCUUGUCUUCACCUAUGUAGUAAAAUAGCUUCUAGAGCUUUACCCUUAAUAUUGUACUAACACCUGACUUUUUCACACAUUUUCCAAAACCCACUUAUUGCAGUGACAACAGCACUGAAUUCUACUAAAAUGAGUUUUAAAGUUCUAGAAUUUGUUUAAGCAGUUAAGCUCAGCCACUUCUGCUGAAUCUAUGAUGAGUAUUUUUAAACCUGCCUAAAAAUGCAAAGAAUGAGAAAAAUAUACAUAUGAUGUAUUUAAGUCAAGAAAAUGGUAGAGAGUUUUGUUUCUAUCCUUUUUUUCUUGAACUGACAGAAUCCAGUCAACUCUCAUCUAUCCACUGGAUAAUCUUGCUUUCAGAAUCUUCUAAACAUAAUUAAGUAUAGCAGUUGAUGAAACUUUGUGUUAGCCCAAUUUACUAUCUUUUAUUUGUCUUCUACAACCACAAAGCUGGCAACUUAGUUACUCCACCCAAACUAGGUCACGCUAAACCAAGGAAGAGAUGAUGAUUGGGUCACUUGUAGUGGAUGCUGCAGGUAGGUCUAAGGUGGUUUGUUCCCAUAAUUUUCAUGAUUUUACUGCUUUAUUUUGGCUGAAGUAAAUCCUCCAAAUUUCAGAUUCAGUUACAUCCAUUCUGAAAUUUAAUACCAUAUUUCAAAGCAAUUUACCAUCCUUAGGCGUUCGUAUCACAAUGGAAAUGAGAAACCUGACUCUAAUCAGAAUUGGUUUUUUUACUACAAAAAGUAUGGCUUUUGCCUAGCUGAACUGGCUACAAUCAAAAAAUCAUUUAAAGCAUCACCUCUCUUCAAGAAGAUAAUGGAACCGCAAGGCAACCAUUUCAAGUUUCUGAUGCAACUAGUUAGCUGUCUGUUCACCUGAGAAUUAAGAGUUAACUUUGUAGGGUAGAUAGGAGCCCAGUGUAGGCAUAUGGCAAACAAGGAGCCAAGGUCAUUGUGAAGUGAGUAUUUACCCCCACCCCACUCCCCAUUGCUGUAUUUAGUUCCUUUCAAUAAUAUAUCCACUGCAUUUCAGUGAUAAGAACACAUAACCCAAAUAGUUCUAAUAUGUGUUCACUGUGCAAUUAUUCACUUGUGUAAAAUCCUCUUGUCAAUAAUACCU